rnacentral:rRNA from 1 species
CUGCUCAAUGAUUAAAUUUUAAAUAGCUGCAGUAUAAAUAACUGUACAAAGGUAGCAUAAUAAUUUGUUUUUUAAUUGAAAACUAGAAUGAAUGAUUUAAUGAAAUAUAAACUGUAUCAAAUUUAAAUAAUAAAUUUAUUAUUUAAAUAAAAAAAUUUAAAUAAUUUUUAAAGACGAGAAGACCCUAUAGAAUUUUAAUAAUAAUUUAAUUUAAUUAAAAUUAAAUUAUUAUAUUAAUUGGGGAAAUUUUAAAAUUUUAAAAAUUUUUAAUUAAAAAAACAUAAAUUUUUGAAUAUUUAUUAUUUUUUAAAAAAAUAAAUUAAUUACCUUAGGGAUAACAGCAUAAUUUUUUUAAAAAG